rnacentral:tRNA from 1 species
GGUAGGGAGGCCGAGUGUUAGGCAGCGGGUUGUAGCCCCGAAGACGGAGGUUUAAGUCCUCCCCUUAUCA